rnacentral:rRNA from 1 species
UGGGGAAUUUUGGACAAUGGGCGCAAGCCUGAUCCAGCAAUGCCGCGUGCAGGAUGAAGGCCUUCGGGUUGUAAACUGCUUUUGUACGGAACGAAACGGUCUUUUCUAAUACAGAAGGCUAAUGACGGUACCGUAAGAAUAAGCACCGGCUAACUACGUGCCAGCAGCCGCUGUAAUACGUAGGGUGCGUGCGUUAAUCGGAAUUUCUGGGCGUAAAGCGUGCGCAGGCGGUUAUAUAAGCCAGAUGUGAAAUCCCCGGGCUCAACCUGGGAACUGCAUUUGUGAAUGUAUAGCUAGAGUACAGCAGAGGGAGAUGGAAUUCCGCGUGUAGCAGUGAAAUGCGUAGAUAUGCGGAGGAACACCGAUGGCGAAGGCAAUCCCCUGGGCCUGUACUGACGCCCAUGCUCGAAAGCGUGGGGAGCAAACA